rnacentral:snRNA from 1 species
AUAGUCACCUAGCAGAUCAGAUACCAUGAACACAAAGGUGGUUUUCCCAGGGCGAGGCUCAUCCAUUGCGCUUUGGCAGUGCUGAACUCUGCAAUUUUCCCACUAGUGAGAAGCUUCUGGUAGUGGGAACUAAAUUCACA